rnacentral:rRNA from 1 species
ACGAACGCUGGCGGCGUGCUUAACACAUGCAAGUCGAACGGAAAGGCCCUGCUUUUGUGGGGUGCUCGAGUGGCGAACGGGGGAGUAACACGUGAGUAACCUGCCCUUGACUUUGGGAUAACUUCAGGAAACUGGGGCUAAUACCGGAUAGGAGCUCCUGCUGCAUGGUGGGGGUUGGAAAGUUUCGGCGGUUGGGGAUGGACUCGCGGCUUAUCAGCUUGUUGGUGGGGUAGUGGCUUACCAAGGCUUUGACGGGUAGCCGGCCUGAGAGGGUGACCGGCCACAUUGGGACUGAGAUACGGCCCAGACUCCUACGGGAGGCAGCAGUGGGGAAUAUUGCACAGUGGGCGGAAGCCUGAUGCAGCAACGCCGCGUGCGGGAUGACGGCCUUCGGGUUGUAAACCGCUUUCGCCUGUGACGAAGCGUGAGUGACGGUAAUGGGUAAAGAAGCACCGGCUAACUACGUG